ensembl:lncRNA
AUAUUAACAUUUAUAAACAUUACUAAACGAUUUAAAAUAAUGUACUAUACAAACGUUUAUGUACAAAAAUAAUGUAUUAAAAAAAGAUAAUAAAUUAAUAAAAUAAGCAAAGCAUUAAAGAAACGUGUUAAUAUGACAGCUUCUUUACAUGCAUUUUGACUGCUCUCAGUGCGGCUGGCUACGCAAAAAAAGAUUAAUGAACAAUAAAGACCAACCUCCCUGUUCCUCGUGUUUUAUUCUGCAGCUUUCUGGUUCAAGUUUUAGUCUCCAGGUUUCUGGUUCCUCGUGUUUUAUUCUCCAGGGCUCUGGUUCCUCGUGAUUUAUUCUCCAGGUUUCUGGUUCAAGUUUUAUUCUACAGGCUUCUGGUUCCUCGUGUUUUAUUCUCCAGGUUUCUGGUUCCUCGUGUUUUAUUCUCCAGGUUUCUGGUUCCUCGUGUUUUAUUCUCCAGGUCUCUGGUUCAAUCGUGUCCUCUUCUCUCUCCUCUUUCACAAACAUCAUCUUCACAGCAGCAGAUCUCGGUUCAGAUGAUACUCCUCCAGAUAUUCCUGCUUGCUUCAAAGCUCAGUCACGACUGUGAGGUUGGAAAUAUUAUAGGUACUGAACUGAUUCAAAACAAUAUGUUUACUAUUUACAGAAACAACAUUUCUAACCGUUUGUAAUAAAUCAGUAUGAAGACAAAACAACAGAGAGCGCGGUGAAACGAAUCUUCUUCAUCUGAGGCUUACUGGUGUUUGGAGAACACAUGUGUUUCAGCGCCUCCCGCUGGACUGGAG